rfam:Corynebacterium xerosis strain ATCC 373 Contig_21, whole genome shotgun sequence.
GGAGGCGUGCCAGAGCGGCCGAAUGGGGCUCCCUGCUAAGGAGUUGCCUGUCUUACGACGGGCCGGAGGUUCGAAUCCUCUCGCCUCCG